UGUUCUUCACCGAAAUUAUUUUUCCUCUGAAAACCUUAAUUGAAUCGUUGACUCGUUAUACUUUCCUCUUUUCUAAAAACCCAUGAGCAGAACUUCGCCUCUUCCGUGGAAAUCACUUAUUAGUGGUAGCACUAUGGCAUGAUUGCGCGCGGCAUGAAAUGAAUUUGGAGGGAAUUAAAGGACCUCGAAAGAAAUCCACCUUCUUCCUGCACUGAUGGAUUUGAGAAUCUAGAGCUAUUGCAUUGGUGCGUCGAUUGGAUCUGUAUAUACCGAAUUGCUCACUCCCGCGGUUGGGCAUACCUCUGAUGCUGCAUCGAAAUUUGUCGUUGGCUAUUUACUUAACUAAACAAGAAUGUCAAAUUAGCACUCUUUAAAAAGAAUGCGCAUAAUAUUGAAUUCAAUUUGAAUGCAAUAGACUGGGAAAACAUAAUGAAAGAAUAAAGAAGGUUGAAUUGCCAGUAUAUUCCGGAUUAGAGUUGUUUUAGAUGCAUUAUGGUGCCAGUAUUUCAAUGCUAGAUGGCCAAGGCUUAGUUUGGGAAACGACAUGGAUUUAAUGGCUUUAAUCUGUUUCUGGUGCGUAGUCAAUGUGAGAAAGAGACACCCUGAGGGUGUGAAGUCCGGGCAUAUUCUGAAUUCCAGCACCUAUCAGGCUAUCACCUUAGAAUCCAUGGAGGUGUUUGUGGCUCCUGGUUUUGAUGGACUUGCUGAGAAGAAUCCUUUGCAGUGGCGGUUGUUGUCGCUUUGUCAGGGAACCAAUUUAUCAUCCUCACGCCUGUUAAUCAACAAAGGACGCAUAUUAUGAACUCUAUAGUAAACUCAAUCAAUUUAAUGCAAAUCAUGCAAUUGCGUCGAUUCCAAAGGAUUGGAUUUUAGCAGAAGUCUAUUCUUAAGCAAAUAAGCAAAUAUAUAGUUUUUUGUCACCAUAAUUUUUUUGUUUUUCUUUGACUCCAGGGUUGUGUAGUUCAAGAUUAAUUAUCAUGAGUCUACAUCAUAUUUGGUACAAUCAGUUAUUUUAAGAAAUGCAUUGCAACUAUCACUUACAAAUUA